AUUGAACGCUGGCGGCAUGCUUUACACAUGCAAGUCGAACGGUAACAGGCCUUCGGGUGCUGACGAGUGGCGAACGGGUGAGUAAUGCAUCGGAACGUACCCAGAGGUGGGGGAUAACGCAGCGAAAGCUGUGCUAAUACCGCAUGUGAUCUGAGGAUGAAAGCGGGGGACCGAGCAGCAAUGUUUGGCCUCGCGCCUUUGGAGCGGCCGAUGUCGGAUUAGCUAGUUGGUGGGGUAAAGGCCUACCAAGGCGACGAUCCGUAGCUGGUCUGAGAGGACGACCAGCCACACUGGGACUGAGACACGGCCCAGACUCCUACGGGAGGCAGCAGUGGGGAAUUUUGGACAAUGGGCGCAAGCCUGAUCCAGCAAUGCCGCGUGAGGGAAGAAGGCCUUCGGGUUGUAAACCGCUUUUGGCAGGAACGAAACGGUGUCCGCUAAUACCGGGCGCUAAUGACGGUACCUGCAGAAUAAGCACCGGCUAACUACGUG
rnacentral:rRNA from 1 species